rnacentral:lncRNA from 10 species
CCUUCCUGGCCUCUGGUAACUGCCAAUCUAUUCUAUCUUCAUGAGAUCGCUUUUAAGCUCCACAUAUGAGAACACACAGUAUUUGUGUGUGUGUGUGCGCUUGUGUGUGCUUGGCUUAUUUCACUAAACAUAAUUGCCCCCAGUUCUAUGUUGCUAAAAAUGACGAUUUCAUUCUUUAUGACUUAAUAGAUUCCACUGUGUAUAUAUACAACACUAUCCAUUCAUCCAUUUAUGGAGAUUUACAUUGAUUCCAUAUUUUGGCUGUUGUGAGUAGUACUGCAACAAACAUGGGAGUGCAGACAUUGCUUUAUACUUAUCUCCUUUUUGUAUA